AGCGAGAUAUAUUACACACUAAAUACUACCUCUCUCUCACUCUGCAUUUGAUUGGCUGAUUCCCUUUCGUACCGAAUCACAGAUUGUUUUCAAACGUAAAUUACCGGUUGUGUUUGAAUCUUUGGCAUUCGUGUAAAUAGAAAUUUAUAAACAAUGCCACGUAAAUGUUGUGUUCGUAGCUGUAAAUUGCAAGGUGAUGAUCCAGAAGCAGUCGCAGUUAGUUUUCAUAAAUUGCCUAAAGAUCAGGGUAUUCAAAGAAAAUGGUUAGAAAGUAUAAACAAUGCUGAGAAUACAAAAUUAGAACCAAAGAAAUUUAUGGAUGUUUGUAGUUUGCACUUUGAACCAGAAGCUUUCUAUUAUAGUGGUUUAGGCAAACUGAAAAGAAUAAAGAAAGAUCAUUAUCCGACUAUAUUUGGCAUAGCGAAGAAUCGUGGAAGAAAUCUACCAAUCCAUCAAAACUGUCAAACAGAACAGCAAAAUGAUAUACUCGACAGCUCACUGAAUAGGAGUGAUAAUUUGCAUAGCUCAUCUCCAUAUAAUCCAGUUAGUCCAAUUAAUGAUGAUGAGGAACAAGAACCAACCAAUGCAGGAGAUAAUGAGAGUGGCAAUGAAUGUCCACAGGCUAUGAAUUGUAUGAAUUCCAGUAUCAAUGAAAAUGUGAGUGUACAAACUGAGCCAUUGUCAACAUGUACAAAAUGCACACAAUAUGAAUGCGACUCAUUCAUCAUUGGAAGAAACGACGCGACUCUCAUUGCAAAUGCUAUACUAAAAAAGUCAGUAGCUAACAUUGAUCUUGAUGGGAUAAAUUCUUCGAAUAAUUUUCUUCUGCAACAACUGGUAUUAAAAGCUCAAUCAGAGAUAAGACAAUUACGCAAGAAAAAUAAGAAUCUGAGAAUGAAAAAUGCUCGUUAUGGUAAGAGGAAAAAAAUAUAAAUAAUUUGCUCAAAAGUAUGACUAACAAGAAGCAUAUAACACACAAAGCGUUGGAUAUUUUCAAAAGUAUGUCCCCAGAAGUCAGUAGACUUGUGCGAAGCAAGGGAAAGGAUGGAUUAGUGACCAUCAUUAUGCGGCUGCAGCCAUCUUAAGAUGUUCAAUAGAAACACCCGCAUUUGCACAAGGGACAAGGGAAAUUGCAGAAAACCUUGCCCACAUAUAGCAGGACUGAUUUCAAACCUGAACCUGCCAAUUUAGUGGCUGAGCAACGUCAUAAAAUUUUUGCAAGCUGCCGCUCAGAUCCUCCUUGACAGGCUAAGGAUUUGAACUCAGGUCCCCCUAUUCCACAGUCUCACACACUAUGUUACUACGGUCGGUGAACACUACAUGAACAUACAUAUUUUUGAAACAAAUCACCUUAUGAGAUAUAGUCCGUUUAAUAAUUUUUAAUUACAUCGAAUGAGUUUGAAGACAUUUAAGUGCAUAGUUGAAAUCCUCUUUUCAACCAUAAUUAACGGGGUCUGUCUUAGUGCUGUUGCAAGAAAAGUCGAAAGGGAAACAGCACUGAAUCGCAAUGAAGUUGUUUUGGGAAAUGAAAGUGAAGAAAGGUAUUGAAAUGAUGGAUGAUAAAGAAUAUGGUUUCAUUGAUAUAGGUAAAGGUAUUGAAGAAAAGGGCCUACCAGACGCAGCAAUGUUUUAGUUUUGAUAGUUGUCUGUGAAAAUGGAAGUUGGAAGUUUCCAGUUUUCUAUUAUUUUGUGAAUUCUCAGACUGAGGAAAAAAAACUGAAAUUGUGAAAGAAAUUUUAAUAGCUCCUGAUAAUACUGGAAUUAUAAUUACAAGUUUAACGCUCAAUGGGUUACACUCGAGUAUUAAUACGUGCAAAAAUUUAGGUGCAUCUUUGGGUAUUACGCAAUCAUGUUCUCAGUACAUUACGGAGAAAAAGUUUCUGUUAUUUGCAAUGGCUAUCAUGUUCUAAAAUUGCUUAGGAAUGCGCUAGGAGAAUUAGAUUUACUCGACACCAUUAGAAAUACAAUUUCUUGCUUACAACUAAAGCUUCCCCAUUUUCUUAUUUUCCUAUUCACAAUAAUUACAUCUCAUACUGAUAUCGUUUUGUAAUACUUCAAAGAAAAUGUGAAUAAUCAACUAUUCUCAUUUCAAAUGUACAAUCAUAAUUGUUUGUUUUCAGUAAUUAUGAUUUAUUAUAAAUCUACAUUUUCACACUUAAAAAUUUACUGCGAAAAAUCAUUCAUGUUCAUUGACCUCCUCAGGACUGGAACGUUGACUGAAGACUAUUGAUAAUUUAUUUUCUCCCAUGUUUAGUAUUGAAUUUCUAGUUUCCAAUAUAUUGUUAUUUCUAGACGCGAAUCUUUUUAACAUCAUACAUAGUUAAAUUUGCCAAGUAGCAGUUGGAUUUGUCUUUAAAUUUGCCGACAUGAGCGCGUUAAAAGUGACGAAACGUAUCGGCCAACCACGUGUAUGUGAAAGAUGGCCGCGCCAGUUGACUUUUGCU
rnacentral:misc_RNA from 1 species